CGUAGGCGAUGGACAACAGGUUGAUAUUCCUGUACCACCUCCUCACCAUUUGAGCAAUGGGGGGACGCAGGAGGAUAGGGUAAGCGCGGUAUUGGAUAUCCGCGUCCAAGCAGUUAGGCUGGGAAAUAGGCAAAUCCGUUUCCCAUAAGGCUGAGCUGUGAUGGCGAGCGAAAUAUAGUAGCGAAGUUCCUGAUUCCACACUGCCAAGAAAAGCCUCUAGCGAGGUGAGAGGUGCCCGUACCGCAAACCGACACAGGUAGGCGAGGAGAGAAUCCUAAGGUGAUCGAGAGAACUCUCGUUAAGGAACUCGGCAAAAUGACCCCGUAACUUCGGGAGAAGGGGUGCUCUGUUAGGGUGCAAGCCCGAGAGAGCCGCAGUGAAUAGGCCCAGGCGACUGUUUAGCAAAAACACAGGUCUCUGCGAAGCCGUAAGGCGAAGUAUAGGGGCUGACGCCUGCCCGGUGCUGGAAGGUUAAGAGGAGCGCUUAGCGUAAGCGAAGGUGCGAAUUGAAGCCCCAGUAAACGGCGGCCGUAACGAUAACGGUCCUAAGGUAGCGAAAUUCCUUGUCGGGUAAGUUCAGACCCGCACGAAAGGCGCAACGAUCUGGGCACUGUCUCAACGAGAGACUCGGUGAAAUUAUAGUACCUGUGAAGAUGCAGGUUACCCGCGACAGGACGGAAAGACCCCGUGGAGCUUUACUGCAGCCUGAUAUUGAAUGUUGGUACAGCUUGUACAGGAUAGGUAGGAGCCUUGGAAACCGGAGCGCCAGCUUCGGUGGAGGCAUCGGUGGGAUACUACCCUGGCUGUAUUGACCUUCUAACCCGCCGCCCUUAUCGGGCGGGGAGACAGUGUCAGGUGGGCAGUUUGACUGGGGCGGUCGCCUCCUAAAAGGUAACGGAGGCGCCCAAAGGUUCCCUCAGAAUGGUUGGAAAUCAUUCGCAGAGUGUAAAGGCACAAGGGAGCUUGACUGCGAGACCUACAAGUCGAGCAGGGACGAAAGUCGGGCUUAGUGAUCCGGUGGUUCCGCAUGGAAGGGCCAUCGCUCAACGGAUAAAAGCUACCCCGGGGAUAACAGGCUUAUCUCCCCCAAGAGUCCACAUCGACGGGGAGGUUUGGCACCUCGAUGUCGGCUCAUCGCAUCCUGGGGCUGUAGUCGGUCCCAAGGGUUGGGCUGUUCGCCCAUUAAAGCGGUACGCGAGCUGGGUUCAGAACGUCGUGAGACAGUUCGGUCCCUAUCCGUCGCGGGCGCAGGAAAUUUGAGAGGAGCUGUCCUUAGUACGAGAGGACCGGGAUGGACGCACCGCUGGUGUACCAGUUGUUCUGCCAAGGGCAUCGCUGGGUAGCUAUGUGCGGACGGGAUAAGUGCUGAAAGCAUCUAAGCAUGAAGCCCCCCUCAAGAUGAGAUUUCCCAUUCCGCAAGGAAGUAAGAUCCCUGAAAGAUGAUCAGGUUGAUAGGUCUGAGGUGGAAGUGUGGCGACACAUGGAGCUGACAGAUACUAAUCGAUCGAGGGCUUAACCU
rnacentral:rRNA from 1 species